CAAGUAUAACCAAAGAAUUUAAUGUACAUGAUUUCACAAGUAUAAGCAAAGGUGAAUGUAAUGUGCAUGAUUCCUCAAGUAUAAGCAGAGGUGAAUGUAAGGUAUGUGAUUUCACAAGUUUAAUCAAAGGUUGUCUCUUAUCCUUAUCUAUACAGAAUAAUUGUGCAUUUGUACCUGAUUUCAGUUGAGCUCUUAUUUUACAUAUGGUUACUUUAUGCCUCGCAUAUUCAGUACAUUCUUUUGUACUGACGUCCCUUCUGGGGGAUGUUGUUUUCAUGCCACAGGUACAGGUACUCAAGCUAAUAAAAUAUCUCAAUCUAAGCAUAGGAUACUCAACGAUCUUUGAUGGAUAGCAAAACAUGGUGCCCUUUCAAGAUGCGAAGAACAAUAGAUAGAGUAUUGCAUUGGGGGCAAUCGUGUAUUUUUACAAAAUACAUCUAUUACAGGCUUCAUGAGAUUUGGGCAGAAAGGAAGUUGUGCUCUUGAUGUGUUGGGCCUUAACAUACAGAGAACUGACCAAAAAACAUAAGAUAUGCUAGAGUCGACAUUAUUUUGAGCUACACCACCCAUUCGAGGACGAAUGAUCCAAAGGGGGAUGAUAUAACACUCUGUACAUUUCAACAUGUAUACGACUAAGUUAAUACUGAUGAAAGUAUUUAAACUCGAGAAGUGAGGUGGUUAUUAAGCUUAAAUUUUAGAGUUGAGUGUUAAGUUUAAAUUAAGAGAUUAGAAUUUGGAAAAUCAGAUAAAAUAAGUGAGGUGCUUGCUUGACUAAAUUAAGCAAGUAAGUGCAUCACCUACUUAGACUUUUUGACCAACUUAAUAAGAGUAAGUAGCUGCAUCACCUACCAUAGCUAAAUAGAUUUAAUAAGAAGAAGUAGUUGCAUCACCUAGUUUGACAUUUCAGCAGCUUAAAAAUGGCCAAGUAGGUGGAUCACCUACUUGGAAAUUUUUGGACAAAAAUGAAGAAGAUAGAGGCGAUGGAGUGCCAGCAAUUAUAGGGUCAUAUUUGGCUCAUUUAUGUCUUAAUUCUUGCAUAGAAAAAAAUGAAUUUAUCUCCAGCACUCUUUCUUUCCCUCAAUGAUUAUCACAGCCACCUCAAAAAUACUCCAUGGGUUCUCGAAGAAACCCUCUUAAUUUCUAUUCAAGGUAAGUAGAAACCUUAUGGUUUAGCUUGAUUGUCCCAUGAGAUUUCA